UUAAAUGAAUAGCAGCAGCCUUUUUACAAUAUGGCCAAUUUUGCAACUGUGAUAAUUAGUGGUAAUCAUGGUGCGUAAUUUCAAGUAGUUUGCUAGCGUUGUUAUUUACAAUUAUUCGAACCCAGUGCCAUAUAGCAUAUUACUAUACAAAAAAAGUUACAUAUUUACCCCAUUUUGAGAGGUCAACGACAAUUGUUGCAGUUAGCUAUCUAGAAUUGUCGUGAACUAUAUGCACAACUAAAGGACAUUGUUCCAGUCACAGGUCUAUGUCCCCAAGCGGGACCUUAUGGUGUCCAGGACACGCUCCGAAGCAGGUUUUCCAGCGUGAGGAAUGAGCAGCUCCCCAGUUAUCCACUGGAGCUCUUAGAGAAAAAUUAGACUUGCUGGUUUAAAAUGGGCCGGUGCCCUACCCACACUGGCCCUACCUACUCACAAACACACAUACAGUGCCUUCAGAAAGUAUUCACACCCCUUGCAUUUUUUCACAUUUAGUUGUUACAAAGUGGGAUUAAAAUUGAUUUAAUUGUCAUUUUUUGUCAAGGACCCACACAACAUACUCUGUAAUGUAAAAGUGGAAGAAACUAAAAAUAUAUAUUUUUAAAUGCUUAUAUAUCUAGAUUAGAUGUGGAUCAUUGGCAUGGGUCCCCAGAUUCUCAAAAGAUUAUACAGCUGCACCAUUGAGAGCUGCUUGGCG